UCUAUUUGGAGGUAUAAAAAGUUUGGCCUGCCCACUGAUUAAAUAGUUUUAAGGGCCGCGGUAUUAUGACCGUGCAAAGGUAGCAUAAUCAUUAGGUUUUUAAAUGGAAUCUUGUAUGAAUGGUUGGACAAAGAAGAGACUGUCUUUAUAUGAGGGUUUGAAUUUUACUUUUAAGUGAGAAGGCUUAAAUGUUUUAGGGGGACGAUAAGACCCUAUAAAACUUUACAUUGAAAUUAUAUUAGUUGAAUUGAUAAUAAAGAUUUAGUAUAAACAUUUGUUUUGUUGGGGAGACAAAGGUAAAAAUUAUGUUAACUGCUUAUAAAAUAGACAUUUAUUAGUG
rnacentral:rRNA from 1 species